UACAGAGGGUGCAAACGUUGUUCGGAAUUACUGGGCGUAAAGCGCGUGUAGGCUGCUCGGAAAGUCGGAUGUGAAAGCCCUGGGCUCAACCUAGGAAGUGCAUUCGAAACUUCCGAGCUGGAGUGCUGGAGAGGAAGGCGGAAUUCUCGGUGUAGAGGUGAAAUUCGUAGAUAUCGAGAGGAACACCGGUGGCGAAGGCGGCCUUCUGGACAGCGACUGACGCUGAGACGCGAAAGCGUGGGGAGCAAACAGG
rnacentral:rRNA from 1 species